AGCGAACGCUGGCGGCAGGCCUAACACAUGCAAGUCGAACGAAGUCUUCGGACUUAGUGGCGGAUGGGUGAGUAACACGUGGGAACGUGCCUUUAGGUUCGGAAUAACUCAGGGAAACUUGCGCUAAUACCGAAUGUGCCCUUCGGGGGAAAGAUUUAUCGCCUUUAGAGCGGCCCGCGUCUGAUUAGCUAGUUGGUGAGGUAAAGGCUCACCAAGGCUACGAUCAGUAGCUGGUCUGAGAGGAUGACCAGCCACAUUGGGACUGAGACACGGCCCAAACUCCUACGGGAGGCAGCAGUGGGGAAUCUUGCGCAAUGGGCGAAAGCCUGACGCAGCCAUGCCGCGUGGAUGAUGAAGGUCUUAGGAUUGUAAAAUCCUUUCACCGGUGAAGAUAAUGACUGUAGCCGGAGAAGAAGCCCCGGCUAACUUCGUGCCAGCCGCCGCCGUAAAAC
rnacentral:rRNA from 1 species